GGUCAGGGAUGAGCUCGCGGCCUAUCAGCUUGUUGGUGAGGUAAUGGCUCACCAAGGCGUCGACGGGUAGCCGGCCUGAGAGGGUGACCGGCCACACUGGGACUGAGACACGGCCCAGACUCCUACGGGAGGCAGCAGUGGGGAAUAUUGCACAAUGGGCGCAAGCCUGAUGCAGCAACGCCGCGUGAGGGAUGACGGCCUUCGGGUUGUAAACCUCUUUUAGCAGGGAAGAAGCGAAAGUGACGGUACCUGCAGAAAAAGCGCCGGCUAACUACGUGCCAGCAGCCGCGGUAAUACGUAGGGCGCAAGCGUCAUCCGGAAUUAUUGGGCGUAAAGAGCUCGUAGGCGGUUUGUCGCGUCUGCUGUGAAAUCCCGAGGCUCAACCUCGGGUCUGCAGUGGGUACGGGCAGACUAGAGUGCGGUAGGGGAGAUUGGAAUUCCUGGUGUAGCGGUGGAAUGCGCAGAUAUCAGGAGGAACACCGAUGGCGAAGGCAGAUCUCUGGGCCGUAACUGACGCUGAGGAGCGAAAGGGUGGGGAGCAAACAGGCUUAGAUACCCUGGUAGUCCACCCCGUAAACGUUGGGAACUAGUUGUGGGGUCCAUUCCACGGAUUCCGUGACGCAGC
rnacentral:rRNA from 1 species